UGAGUUACUCAAUUCAAGCGUGACAGUGCAAAAGGUGGUUAGACAGCCCUCCCCGAUUAUAGGGGCAAAUUAGGAAAAAAGAGGAUCGAUCCGGGAAGGGUAGGGGUGCAAUCCGAUUAACCCUCUUGAGGAAAGGGGUGAUUUCUUCUUUAGGCUGAGGCCACGGAACCGGGGAACCGAAGACAUGGAUUUGAGACCCAUUUAUUACCGACGCAAACUUUGCUUUGGGGCAGCUGCUUGGGGACUACGAGCGUGUGCUUAAAACUCAAAGAACUUGGCGGCAAGUUAACUACCUAGGGGAAUAUGCGCCUUAAUCCGAUGAUCCACGUGGAAUCUUACUGUACCUUGAAAAAGAACAGCUGGUGUAUUGCCGUCGUCAGCUUGUUGUUCGAGCAAAGAGAAACAAGCUCAAUGGAGCUGGCGAUGAAAAUCGACAGGGUCCGUAAAGUCAGGUCGAAAUACUGCCUAUGGUGCAAGGGAGCGGGUAUUACAAUUUAAAUUUCGAAACACGGAGCCUGGAAGAAAUGUGAAAUCCUCAGGUGAAGGUGGACUUAGGAGUAAGGGAAGAUUAAUAUGCUCCCCUGAACGUGAAACUAGCUUGUGUACAAACCGCCCGUCGCUCUCGCCGGAAGGUGAGAUAAGUCGUAACAAGGUAGGGGUA
rnacentral:rRNA from 1 species